rfam:Gorilla gorilla gorilla genomic chromosome, chr7, whole genome shotgun sequence
UAUUAGGUUGGUGCAAAAGUAAUUGUGGUUUUUGCCAUGAAAAGUAAUGGCAAAAACCUCAAUUACUUUUGCACCAACCUAAUA